rnacentral:pre_miRNA from 1 species
UAUGUACUCCCUCUGUCUCAAAAUUCUUGUAUUAGAUUUGUCUAAAUAUGGAUGUAUCAAAUCACAUUUUAGUAUUAGAUACAUCUGUAUCUAGACAAAUCUAAGACAAAAAUUCUGGGACGGAGGGAGUAUUAU